CACAUGCAAGUCGAGCGGAAACGAGUUAUCUGAACCUUCGGGGAACGAUAACGGCGUCGAGCGGCGGACGGGUGAGUAAUGCCUAGGAAAUUGCCCUGAUGUGGGGGAUAACCAUUGGAAACGAUGGCUAAUACCGCAUGAUGCCUACGGGCCAAAGAGGGGGACCUUCGGGCCUCUCGCGUCAGGAUAUGCCUAGGUGGGAUUAGCUAGUUGGUGAGGUAAGGGCUCACCAAGGCGACGAUCCCUAGCUGGUCUGAGAGGAUGAUCAGCCACACUGGAACUGAGACACGGUCCAGACUCCUACGGGAGGCAGCAGUGGGGAAUAUUGCACAAUGGGCGCAAGCCUGAUGCAGCCAUGCCGCGUGUGUGAAGAAGGCCUUCGGGUUGUAAAGCACUUUCAGUCGUGAGGAAGGUAGUGUAGUUAAUAGCUGCAUUAUUUGACGUUAGCGACAGAAGAAGCACCGGCUAACUCCGUGCCAGCAGCCGCGGUAAUACGGAGGGUGCGAGCGUUAAUCGGAAUUACUGGGCGUAAAGCGCAUGCAGGUGGUUUGUUAAGUCAGAUGUGAAAGCCCGGGGCUCAACCUCGGAAUUGCAUUUGAAACUGGCAGACUAGAGUACUGUAGAGGGGGGUAGAAUUUCAGGUGUAGCGGUGAAAUGCGUAGAGAUCUGAAGGAAUACCGGUGGCGAAGGCGGCCCCCUGGACAGAUACUGACACUCAGAUGCNAAAGCG
rnacentral:rRNA from 1 species